ACAGUGCAAAAUACUCCAGGGGGCCAGCAUGUUCCUGCUCAACUCUGUGUUCUAGGCUUUGACAAUGAGGUCAAAUGUUCCCAGGUCUGCAACAGAGUGACAGUCGCUUGUUGGAUUACUCAAGAAUGGACAACUGUCCAGUUGUCCAGUCUUGGAGAUGGGCUCACAUGGAGGAGAGGACCUUGGGCGUACAGCUGAGGCCCUUUGUCUAGAGAUCAGGCCCCUGCAGAGGGCCACACUUGGUGUUCGGCUUGCCCACAGGAAGGCCUUUAGUCUGGACUGCACUGACAUACAUCGAGAGGCUCGCAACAGGAGACAAGACUCCCUGGAAAGAUACUGUGAUCUCAGGGCAGAGCAUAUGCUCAUGUCGACAGCCAGCCAGCAAGCUUCCACCUCUCCAUGCAGGACCAACAUGCUGUCUUGGAGGGCAGAUCUAGAACCUGUUAGGGUGGGUGUUAUUAGAGGCUCACAGAUCCCCAAUGAGGAUCAGGAAGCAGGCAGCUCAUUGAGCCACAGAGCUCCUCUGAUGUCUCUCAGCAGCUCUGAGGAGGAACAGGAGGCUGGAGAACUUGCUUGCAGAGCUCCAGUAGGGCUCAGUGUAGCUUCAUCCCUGCUUACACCAACUCCAUCUGGGGAUUGCAUUCUAGAGUAAAAGAGAGAGGAAACGACUGAAGCGCAUAAGGAGGAGACAGAAGAGGAGAGAGUGCUGCAGACAGAGCCAGCAGCAGAAGAAUGUGCAGAGCUCUACAGGGAACCCAUCCAGCAGCAGUGAGGACGAAGAGCUGCCCAGCCUAGACCGUGAAGGCUAUAUCUGUGCUGUUUGUCUGGAUGUCUACUUCAGUCCGUACAUGUGCCAUCCCUGCAAUCACGUCUUCUGUGAGCCUUGUUUGAGGACACUGGCCAAGAGCUGCCCCACGAACACACCCUGUCCAUUGUGCAGGACAACCAUAACAUGUGUUUUCUUCCAGAAAGAACUGAACCAGACAGCUCGUACAUUCUUCCCAAAGGAAUACCUGUCUCGGAAGCAGAAUUUCCAGAAAGCAUGCUGUGCAAAAUGGCCCCUUCCGAGUUGCCGUAAACUGUUUCGAAUAUUUGGAGGCUUUCAAAGGCAAGCAAGUCCAAUUGGCAGGCGCCAGUUCCCUCACGGGAGCUAUCGGCUAGAUGCCUUCAACUUCGAGGAUGAUUCGCAUGGCUGGCGAUUUAACAUGGACAUGGUGAUCAUCUAUAUAUACUCUGUCAACUGGGUCAUUGGCUUCAUUAUCUUCUGCCUCUUCUGCUAUAUCUUCUUCCCUUCCUUUUGAAAAGGAGGCAAAAGGGAAGCUGUCUGCAGUGUUUUAGAUCUUUUAGGACAACGGAGUAGACAACAAGAAAGGCAUCUUAUGCUGUAACUGAAAUUUCUGGACUAUCAUAAUUAAUCAUAAUCAUAAAUGAGUUUUUGAUUUGCCUAAUAUCUGUUUGCUUUGAAACAGAAUGUUGGCUAACUGUGUGGGGGAAGCUUUGUAUGCAUAAUCACCAGCAUUUUUUUUCUUUGUACUCACACCAGUGGACUGUUUUUAUUUAUUUAUUUUUUCACAAUUUGCAUUCACAUUUAUUCAGUGUGAAUACUUUUAAGAAAGGCCUUCGCUUACAGUUUAUGAACAUUGAGUGCAAUGUUCAGGUUUGUAAAAAUAUUAAAUGGGGUACAAAAGUCUGAAACCAUAAGUAAAAAUGCUUCUAAUUUACAUUUUUCUUAAAUCGAAAUUAUAUUAUUAGUAUUCCAAUUUGAGUGAAAAGUUGAUAAGCUUUUUUUCUUUUUCUUUUUUUUUUAAGAAUGAAUUCCAGAAUUUCUUGUAUUUGGUUUGUCUCCCUUUAGCUUUAAAGAUAGCAUGCACUUGAGCUGGCAUGGACUCCACAAGUUUGUGCAAAUCCUGAAGAUCCAUGAUCAAAAUGUGUGCUUCAAAGGAAGCAAGAAAAUCACAAAAGAGUGAUAUUGCACAAAUUAGUUAACAUGGUCAAUGUCAUAAAUUUGCUCACGUUAGUGACCUGGAAAUAGUGGAAUUAUUUAUUUGUUUCAAAAUCCUCCAGCUUUCCAGAUUUAUAUUAGAGUUUGAAUCCCAGAUUUGGUGUUAGACUUUUGGAACCCUUCUGUACAUCUAGACUGAAUCUGAAAAUAAAG